UACGUAGGGUGCGAGCGUUGUCCGGAAUUAUUGGGCGUAAAGGGCUCGUAGGCGGUUUGUCGCGUCGGGAGUGAAAACUCAGGGCUUAACCCUGAGCCUGCUUCCGAUACGGGCAGACUAGAGGUAUGCAGGGGAGAACGGAAUUCCUGGUGUAGCGGUGAAAUGCGCAGAUAUCAGGAGGAACACCGGUGGCGAAAGCGGCUCUCUGGCCCGAUACUGACGCUCAUGUACGAAAGCGUGGGGAGCAAACAGG
rnacentral:rRNA from 1 species